AUUGAACGCUGGCGGCAGGCCUAACACAUGCAAGUCGAACGGUAGCACAGAGAGCUUGCUCUCGGGUGACGAGUGGCGGACGGGUGAGUAACGUCUGGGAAACUGCCCGAUGGAGGGGGAUAACUACUGGAAACGGUAGCUAAUACCGCAUAACGUCGCAAGACCAAAGUGGGGGACCUUCGGGCCUCACACCAUCGGAUGUGCCCAGAUGGGAUUAGCUAGUAGGUGGGGUAAUGGCUCACCUAGGCGACGAGCCCUAGCUGGUCUGAGAGGAUGACCAGCCACACUGGAACUGAGACACGGUCCAGACUCCUACGGGAGGCAGCAGUGGGGAAUAUUGCACAGUGGGCGCAAGCCUGAUGCAGCCAUGCCGCGUGUAUGAAGAAGGCCUUCGGGUUGUAAAGUACUUUCAGCGGGGAGGAAGGCGGUGAAGUUAAUAACUUCACCGAUUGACGUUACCCGCAGAAGAAGCACCGGCUAACUCCGUGCCAGCCGCCGCGGUAA
rnacentral:rRNA from 1 species